UAUUAACUUUAUUCAGGAACUUCAAGAUUACGAGAAAAACGGUGAUGUGAAACUGCAUCUGGCGUUCUCACGAGAUCAAGCGCAUAAGGUGUAUGUCACUCAUCUUCUGGAGCAAAACAUGGAUCAAAUUUGGGAUAUCCUUGGCAACCGGAACGGGCAUUUCUAUAUUUGCGGUGACGCAAAGAACAUGGCUGUGGAUGUGCGGAACAUAAUACUGAAGACUGUACAAGUGAAAGGCGGCCGCACCGAGGAGGAGGCAGUGCAAUUCCUCAAGAAGCUCGAGUCCAUGAAGAAAUAUUCUGCAGACGUGUGGAGUUAAUUCCGGAUUUUAAUUUAGUUAAUUUGUCAAAAUGUAGACAAUUGUUAAUUAUUUAAUGAAAUAUUAAUAUUAUGUCGUGUAUGUCGCAAGUUUUGGGUACAACUAUUCCAUUCCAAACAAAAAAAAGGAAAUGUACAUUAUAAUUUUGUAGCCACCAUCGCGUUUGCGAUUGUGUCGUAUUCUUGACGUAGUCUACAGGGCUAUAUUUGUUACAAUAUGUAAAUAGUUCUUGAA